UACUAAUCUAAUCACUAAACUAUUGCAAUCUUCGUAUAUGGAUAAUAAACACUGUCUCUUCUUGGAUAUUGCUUAUACAUCAAAGCUGCACUUCAUGCAUGAAUAUCCCUAGGUCUUAGUAUGCUAGAACAAUAGAGCUUUGGGUCUUAAAACCUUUAUACUUGCUGAUCUGGUCAAUUGGUGCCCAAAUCCAUAAACAUUAGCUCAAGGUUUUGCAAAUAACUUCUAAAUAAUAUCAACAUUGAAAGUAUCAAGAUAAGAGGUGAAGAGAAAAACUAACUACAGGACCAUUCUUGCACCAGAAUAUUCUAAAAAAAAUAACACUCAAACAUGUGAAACAGCUUGAUUCAUAGGUUCAACCCCGUCGAAAAGGUUAAACUCAUACAUAACUUGAGUUUUAAAACCUCAUAGCAUGCUACCUUAAAGGAAAUACAGAAUACACUUAAAGGGAGGGGAGGGUUGGUUUAAGCUAUGAAUUUGACCAUAGAAAGGUCAAACUCAUUAAGCUAACCAAAUUGUAAGGGUGAGGAUCUAGACAUGUUACUCGAGUAAUGCAGUGAAAAACCAUAAAUACAAAUUUGAUAGAGAAUAACCAAUGUUAACUUUACAUAAAGGCUAACAACUCAUGAGUCAGAAUCCAACAGAAAACAAAGAACCAUUUAUUCAUAGAAUUUCACAUACAUAGGAGUCAUUUCAAGGAAUAGCUAUGUGUACCUUGAAGCAAAAGGACUAAAUGAGACUGGCAAAGCUACUUCAAAGCAAGAAACAAAAGUAGCAAUCCAAACAGCCUCUACAACUCUUAGGAUCAGACUUUUAACCUAUAAUCAAAGCUGGAAGAAACCCAGAGUCUAGCUAAGGAACUAAGGGAAAUUCCCCUUUCAAACCAUGUUUUGAACUUUUAAAGGCAGAAGAGGUUUCUGAUAUUUUAAGAAAAAAGCUAUUUUUAAGUCUGAAAACUUCAGAGAAGACGAUGGAAAUUUCAGAGAAAUUU
rnacentral:lncRNA from 1 species